ACGCUCGACACCUACGUGAGGCAGCAGUUGGGAAUAUUGGACAAUGGAGGAAACUCUGAUCCAGUGACGCCGCGUGAAGGAAGAAGGUCUUCGGAUUGUAAACUUAUUUUGUCAGGGAAGAAAAAUGACUGUACCUGAAGAAAAAGCACCGGCUAACUACGUGUCAGCAGCCGCGGUAAUCUGAGCGGGCUGGCAAGGC
rnacentral:rRNA from 1 species